UCCCUGAUGGCUCAAUGGUAAAGAAUCUGCCUGCAAGGCAGGAAACCCAGAUUCAAUCCCUGGGUCGGGAA
rnacentral:tRNA from 1 species